UAGGAAUAAAUACUUUAAAUUGGUAAAGAUUUUCAUUUAUUGAUACAACUUUAAGGUCAGUUUUGUGAUAAUGUAUGUCUACUCUUGUUUAGGUAUUGUGUUUAUACAGAUCUUUUACCUAUAAUAGUCAGAACUUAUAAUUAGGUUAGUUAGGUAUUCUUCAAACCUUUCAAAGACCUACAGAAAUAUGGCAUUUAAAUGGUUUAGGGUUUUUCUUGGCAGUGAGACACAACUGCUCCUGGCACACCAAUUAUGUCAGAAAGGAGGAUGGGCAUCGAAGAAACUCGUUAUGGAGUUUGCUUUCAACAUGGCAAGACUAGCCAUUUGGGCAAGAAACUGCUCUUGCCUGGACUGUUUGUUGCUGUAUAAAUUGGACAUGCAGGACCCACAAGAAAAUGACUGCUAAACUUACAAAACUAAAGGGUUCCUGUUAAAAUGGAGGAGUGUGUUAGACAUACUGUGGCCUAUAGGCUGAAGAUGGAUGCCCCAACAUUUACAGAGGAACUUUGGGUGACUGCCCAGGUAGCAAGAUGUCCUGUCAAUUCAAGAGUUUAUAUAUUAUCCUUCUGUGGUCUUUGAUAGAGUUAAAGACAGAUAGUUAUGGUUAUAGUUUUCUUCAGUUAUUAUAAAAAAUAAGUUACCCUUCUUUUUAUUUAGACAGAAAAGAGGAGAUGAUGGGGGAAAUACUUCUGUGUAUGUUUAUAAAUAAAGUACUUGCUUGGCCAAUGAGACAGCAGGUUAGGCUGGACUAGGAGUCAAAGAGGAUUCUGGGAAAUGUAGUAGAGAAGUGGUGUUCCAGACAGGAAGUGACAUAGCAAGGAGACUCAUAUUUAAGAAGAGGAAAAAGGAAGUGUUGCUCUCUUUCCCCUCGGCUCCUGCUCCAGCGGCAAGAUGUGAUCCACCAGCUAGGAGGGACGCCAAUAAGGCGUCCGAUAAGAUAAGUCUUAUAAAAUAUAUAGAUGUAUGAUGAUUGAUACUGAGCUAACAGAUGAGAAUCCUAGUCAUUGGCCAAGCAGCAUUGUAACUAAUACAAGUCUCUCUGUGUAUUCAUUUGGGCCUAACUUGGACAGGCGGCUGCCAUAAAGCUUACACGUGGCGGUGGGGCUCAGCGGCUUUUGGCAGAAAGAUUUAUC
rnacentral:lncRNA from 1 species